GACUAGAAUGCCCUUGUAUGUGUGAGUAGGUGAAAAUUGGCCCUAGGGGCAUUUCAGUCUUUUGACCUUUAAUGAUAUGUUUUGAUAGAAAUGGAUUUUUAAGGAAAGAGAAAAUUGAUUUUCUGGUUUCUAAUCCUUGUUACCCGUCCCUCUCUCUCUAUCUCUCUAAACCUAUCUUUUUCAACUUUGAUUUUGGAAAGAAAUUUGCUUGAAUUGGAGCUUCAAAUUUGUGGAUUUUUGAGCUUGGAAUUGAAGGGAGUUCUAGCUAUAUUUGAGGUAGUUUUACAGUUCUUAAUUUUGAUUGUUGUUGCUGAAUUUGUUGGUUGAGAAGCAUGUUUUCUAAGUCUUAAUGCUCUUGAUUGCAUGAGUGUUAAUCUUGAUGAAUUGAGUGUGUUAAUCUUUGGAUUUAAGUUCUUGAGCAUGGAUUUUGAUUCUAGGGUACUUUCUAAUAUUGAAUCAUGUGUUAUUGUGAUGUUGUGUUGGCUGGAAAAUUGUUUAAAUGGCUGAAGAUGAAGCUCUUGUUCUUGAGCUUGGAAUUUGCUUAGUUUGAGCAUGAUUUUGUUGUGUUUAUGCAAUCUGAAUUUUUGGCUUUUGCAAUGAGAAUUUAGAUGCAUUUGGGUUGUGAUUUUUGAGCCUUAUUAUGCGUUUUUACCCUCUGUUUGGUUGGGGUUCGAAAUCUAGGAAAGGUUGGCAUUUUAAGACCUUAAAAAUGGAGUUUUGGGGUGUUCUAAACCCAGUCGUCGCGACGGGAUUUUCGGCCGUCGCGACUGGAUUUGCCAGUGAUAAAUUCUGUUUUCUCAAUUUUGUUUUGGCCAUAACUUUUGACUCGGGACUCCGUUUGGGAUGUUCUUUAUAUCGUUGGAAAGCUCGUUCCGAGCUCUAUUUGAUUAUCUAUGUUUUGAAUGCCAUGUUUAUAUUUUGUGAAAGUGAAAUUGGGGAUUAACCCUAUUUGUGAAAUCCCGGAUUGUGUGACUAGGAUUACCGGCACCUGAUCAGGAGCACCCAGGGGUUUGGAAUCUCUGUUAUUGCGGGACAAUAGGAAAGGGUAAGUCAGUGGCUGAUCAACCAUGAGUUUGAGGAGCAAAACGAAGAAUGUACAUGUUCAAGCCAUAUCAGACCAAGCGGGUUAAGGGUCUAUCAGUGUUGAACUUUUGAAUUCUGUUUUGCCGCUUAGGUCGACUAGAAAGAAAAGACUUGUAAUAAGUUUGUAAUUAUUUUUUUGGGAUCCCAACUGUUUUGAAAGUUUAAAUAUAUUACAAGUUUAUUUUCA